rnacentral:rRNA from 1 species
CGUGAGGAACCUGCCUUUCAGAGGGGGGACAACAGUUGGAAACGACUGCUAAUACCGCAUAAUAUAUGUUUGUCGCAUGGCAGAUAUAUCAAAGAUUUAUCGCUGAGAGAUGGCCUCGCGUCUGAUUAGCUAGUUGGUAGGGUAACGGCCUACCAAGGCGACGAUCAGUAGCCGGACUGAGAGGUUGGCCGGCCACAUUGGGACUGAGAUACGGCCCAGACUCCUACGGGAGGCAGCAG